CCUCGCUUGGUGCCAGUACAGCAUUCACAGUCUACUACCUGAAUGGAUCAAGUACAGCACAGGUUGGACUAGGUCAUUUACCAUCAUGUCGGGCUCAAGGACUGGAUGCUGGUGGUAGUGGUCAGUAUUUACGACUGACUAAUACUAAUACCAGUACAACUAUAGCUGAACAGGGAGCAUUUACUCUGACAGCUUUUAGCGAUACCCCUAGACUAUUCUGGAACACAUCAUCACACUUGACUUUGGACCCAACCUACACUGGACUGUACAGGUGUACUACAGAUACAGCAGUAUCAACACAGACAUAUCAACUCAAUGUUGUAGUUCCACCUACCAUACUGUCAUUGAACACAUCGGAUACAGUUGACAACAACACUGUGCACCCCAUCAGUUGUACAGGCCAGGGAUACCCGGAACCUACAGUGACACUAAUGGUCGACAAUGUGGUAGUCACUGGCACUGAUACCAACAAUUGUGCUGCUGGUGUGUGUACAAAGACACGAACAGCAUCACUAGAUGGUAGUAACUACACACCUGGUGACACCAUCAACAUCACAUGUAUUGUGGAUAUCAACCCACCACCAUUCACCUGUACUGCUGCUCAGAAUUCAACUCUACAGACUCAGUGCACUACUUCUGUCAAUACCAGGUCACAAACAAUAAUGUUAACUGUAGUUGCGCAAUGUCCAUAUCUUGAUGAUCUCGGCUUCAAUUACAAACCUAUUUCCGGUUUCAGCAGGACGUUUGGCAGCAACCUUUCCAUACAGUGCCGAACAGGUUACCUGUCCACCGACGCUCUCAGUACCACCACAACUUCAUGCCAAAGUGGUGGAGUAUGGAGUCCAAGUC